rnacentral:pre_miRNA from 2 species
AGAAUACUCCCUCCGUACGGAAAUAAUUGUCGAAAGAAUGGAUGUAUCUAGAUGUAUUUUAGUUCUAGAUACAUCCGUUUUAAUCAAUUUUUAUGACAAGUAAUUCCGGACGGGGUACAUA